AAUAAGUGCAGUUUUGCACUAUUCACGUUCAACGUUUGACCGUUCGUCUUAUUUAAAAUUUUAUGUUUAGUAUUUUUAUUGCUAUUAGAUGAUAAAACAUGAAUAAUACUUUAUGUGUGACUAAAUAUUUUUAAAUUUUUCAUAAAUUUUUCAAAUAAGACGGACGGUCAAAUAUUGGACACAGAUAUCCACGACUACACUUAUU
rnacentral:pre_miRNA from 1 species